ACUCCUACGGGAGGCAGCAGUUAAGAAUCUUGCGCAAUGGGCGCAAGCCUGACGCAGCGACGCCGCGUGCGCGAUGAAGGCCUUCGGGUUGUAAAGCGCAAUAGACAGGGAAGAAGAAAGUGACGGUACCUGUUGAAAGCACCGGCUAACUACGUGCCAGCAGCCGCGGUAAU
rnacentral:rRNA from 1 species